UAACCCUUGAAUGAGUAGGUGUCCAAACCUUUGACUGGUAUUGUAUAGGCAUGUGCAAACGUGCCUCUGAUGCGUAGAGUAAGGAAGUACAUAAUCUCUAUUCACGUCAUUUCGAUCCCGUGUUCAUGACGUUUGACUACUGAACGUACGCCAGAUGUUUAUAUAGUUGGGUGGGUUUAGGAGAGGAAGAAAUGGAUGUUUAUAUUGUUGGGUGGGUUUAGGAGAGGUAGAAAUGGAUGUUUAUAUUGUUGGGUGGGUUUAGGAGAGGAAGAAAUGGAUGUUUAUAUUGUUGGGUGGGUUUAGUAGAGGAAGAAAUGGAUGUUUAUAUUGUUGGGUGGGUUUAGGAGAGGUAGAAAUGGAUGUUUAUAUUGUUGGGUGGGUUUAGGAGGGGGAGAAAUGGAUGUUUAUAUUGUUGGGUGGGUUUAGGAGAGGUAGAAAUGGAUGUUUAUAUUGUUGGGUGGGUUUAGGAGAGGUAGAAAUGGAUGUUUAUAUUGUUGGGUGGGUUUAGGAGGGGAAGAAAUGGAUGUUUAUAUUGUUGGGUGGGUUUAGGAGAGGUAGAAAUGGAUGUUUAUAUUGUUGGGUGGGUUUAGGAGAGGUAGAAAUGGAUGUUUAUAUUGUUGGGUGGGUUUAGGAGAGGAAGAAAUGGAUGUUUAUAUUGUUGGGUGGGUUUAGGAGAGGUAGAAAUGGAUGUUUAUAUUGUUGGGUGGGUUUAGGAGAGGAAGAAAUGGAUGUUUAUAUUGUUGGGUGGGUUUAGGAGAGGUAGAAAUGGAUGUUUAUAUUGUUGGGUGGGUUUAGGAGAGGUAGAAAUGGAUGUUUAUAUUGUUGGGUGGGUUUAGGAGAGGUAGAAAUGGAUGUUUAUAUUGUUGGGUGGGUUUAGGAGAGGUAGAAAUGGAUGUUUAUAUUGUUGGGUGGGUUUAGGAGAGGAAGAAAUGGAUGUUUAUAUUGUUGGGUGGGUUUAGGAGAGGAAGAAAUGGAUGUUUAUAUUGUUGGGUGGGUUUAGGAGGGGGAGAAAUGGAUGUUUAUAUU